UUAGUUGAAGCCAAAGAGAGGCCUUUCAUUGUUAAUGAAAAAACUGAAUUUAUAUUCCAACUAAA
rnacentral:tRNA from 1 species